UCCUGGGCUCAGGAUGAACGCUAGCUACAGGCUUAACACAUGCAAGUCGCGGGGUAACAUCUGGUAGAGCUUGCUCUCCAGGAUGACGACCGGCGCACGGGUGAGUAACGCGUAUCCAACCUGGCCCAUACCACGGGAUAGCCCGUCGAAAGGCGGAUUAAUACCGUAUGCUGUCAUUAAGAUGCAUAUAUUGAUGACGAAAGGACUGGCGGUAUGGGAUGGGGAUGCGUUUGAUUAGCUGGUUGGUGGGGUAACGGCCUACCAAGGCGACGAUCAAUAGCCGACCUGAGAGGGUGACCGGCCACAUUGGGACUGAGACACGGCCCAAACUCCUACGGGAGGCAGCAGUGGGGAAUAUUGCACAAUGGGCGAAAGCCUGAUGCAGCGACGCCGCGUGAGCGAAGAAGUAUUUCGGUAUGUAAAGCUCUAUCAGCAGGGAAGAUAAUGACGGUACCUGACUAAGAAGCACCGGCUAAAUACGUG
rnacentral:rRNA from 1 species